rnacentral:rRNA from 1 species
CUACGGAGGGGGCGAGCGUUAUUCGGAAUCACUGGGCGUAAAGCGUGCGUAGGCGGUUUAACAAGUCAGAAGUGAAAGCCCAGGGCUCAACCCUGGAACUGCUUUUGAAACUGUUAGACUAGAAUUCGGGAGAGGUCAGGAGAAUUCCUAGUGUAGAGGUGAAAUUCGUAGAUAUUAGGAGGAAUACCAGUGGCGUAGGCGCCUGACUGGACCGAUAUUGACGCUGAGGUACGAAAGCGUGGGGAGCAAACAGGAUUAGAUACCCUAGUAGUCC